AAUUGUCCAAUGCAGGUCUGUGGACAACUCUGCUCGGGGGGCUUCAGAGAUGUGUCUGUUGAUUUCACCCCCAGGAGGUAAAAUUAACUAAGCUUACAGGCUAAAACAACAUGUAUUCUCUUUUCUGAUUAACUGAAAUUAGAUACCAUACUCUAGUGUUGUCUCUGUAUUCCCCCCUAUAUUUUAAGCAAGUCUCUACCAGUGGACCUGCUGGGCCAGCACCUGGGCCAGCACCUACCCCACCAGCGUCUGGGUCUGCUGUUCAGACUCCAGCAUUGAGGACUGCAUUUAACUUGUUGUCAAUGAUAAAUAUUACAUUUUUUGUCACAUUAUUUUUCCUCAACUACCAUGGCUCUGCUGCUAUGACAGAACACUGAAUCAGAUAAUCCUUUUGACAGGUGUCUUGGUUUCCUCCUCUGUUUAUUGUGACUAUUAUGUUUUUCUCUCUCUUUUGCAGUUCAAUAAGCAAAGGAUUUGGGGGCUCUCGUUUGUCUGCAGCAAAACCAAACCUUAACUUGGCCAGGAAGCCUGAUCAGACACAACAUGUCCGUAACCUGGCCAAGUUGUCUACAGCCUCUGUGAGUGCCCCCACCCUUGCAACGUCCUCUGUGAGUGCCUGAAACCUUCCUCUGGCCUCUGUGAGUGCCCCCACCCACUGUUUCAUGAUGUGCCUAGGAAGCCUGUUCAGCUCUGCUAGAUUCUCUGUAAGUGCUCUCUUCUGCUACAGCCUUGAUGAGGAACCUCGGUACAUA